rnacentral:rRNA from 1 species
GAUGAACGCUGGCGGCGUGCCUAAUACAUGCAAGUCGAGCGAACAGACGAGGAGCUUGCUCCUCUGACGUUAGCGGCGGACGGGUGAGUAACACGUGGAUAACCUACCUAUAAGACUGGGAUAACUUCGGGAAACCGGAGCUAAUACCGGAUAAUAUAUUGAACCGCAUGGUUCAAUAGUGAAAGACGGUUUUGCUGUCACUUAUAGAUGGAUCCGCGCCGCAUUAGCUAGUUGGUAAGGUAACGGCUUACCAAGGCAACGAUGCGUAGCCGACCUGAGAGAGUGAUCGGCCACACUGGAACUGAGACACGGUCCAGACUCCUACGGGAGGCAGCAGUAGGGAAUGUUACGCAAUGGGCGAAAGCAUGACGGAGCAACGCCGCGUGAGUGAUGAAGGUCUUCGGAUCGUAAAACUCUGUUAUUAGGGAAGAACAAAUGUGUAAGUAACUAUGCACGUCUUGACGGUACCUAAUCAGAAAGCCACGGCUAACUACGUG